rnacentral:rRNA from 1 species
UAGGGAAUCUUCCACAAUGGACGAAAGUCUGAUGGAGCAACGCCGCGUGAGUGAAGAAGGGGUUUCGGCUCGUAAAGCUCUGUUGGUAGUGAAGAAAGAUAGAGGUAGUAACUGGCCUUUAUUUGACGGUAAUUACUUAGAAAGUCACGGCUAACUACGUGCC